GAGUUUGAUCAUGGCUCCAGAUUGAACGCUGGCGGCAGGCCUAACACAUGCAAGUCGGGCGGUAGAGAGAAGCUUGCUUCUCUUGAGAGCGGCGGACGGGUGAGUAAUGCCUAGGAAUCUGCCUGGUAGUGGGGGAUAACGCUCGGAAACGGACGCUAAUACCGCAUACGUCCUACGGGAGAAAGCAGGGGACCUUCGGGCCUUGCGCUAUCAGAUGAGCCUAGGUCGGAUUAGCUAGUUGGUGAGGUAAUGGCUCACCAAGGCGACGAUCCGUAACUGGUCUGAGAGGAUGAUCAGUCACACUGGAACUGAGACACGGUCCAGACUCCUACGGGAGGCAGCAGUGGGGAAUAUUGGACAAUGGGCGAAAGCCUGAUCCAGCCAUGCCGCGUGUGUGAAGAAGGUCUUCGGAUUGUAAAGCACUUUAAGUUGGAGGAAGGGCAGUAAAUUAAUACUUUGCUGUUUUGACGUUACCGACAGAAUAAGCACCGGCUAACUCUGUGCCAGCACG
rnacentral:rRNA from 1 species